rnacentral:rRNA from 1 species
CACGUAGGGCGCAAGCGUUGUCCGGAAUUAUUGGGCGUAAAGAGCUCGUAGGCGGUCUGUUGCGUCCGCUGUGAAAACUCGGGGCUUAACCCCGAGCCUGCAGUGGAUACGGGCAGACUAGAGGUAGGUAGGGGAGAAUGGAAUUCCCGGUGUAGCGGUGAAAUGCGCAGAUAUCAGGAGGAACACCGGUGGCGAAGGCGGGUCUCUGGACAGUUCCUGACACUGAGGCACGAAGGCCAGGGGAGCAAACGGG